rnacentral:rRNA from 1 species
CAGUAACGGCGAGUGAAGCGGCAACAGCUCAAAUUUGAAAUCUGGUCCCCAGGGCCCGAGUUGUAAUUUGUAGAGGAUGCUUUUGGCGCGGCGCCUUCCGAGUUCCCUGGAACGGGACGCCAUAGAGGGUGAGAGCCCCGUCUGGUCGGAUGCCUAGCCUCUGUAAAGCUCCUUCGACGAGUCGAGUAGUUUGGGAAUGCUGCUCAAAAUGGGAGGUAUAUGUCUUCUAAAGCUAAAUAUUGGCCAGAGACCGAUAGCGCACAAGUAGAGUGAUCGAAAGAUGAAAAGCACUUUGAAAAGAGGGUUAAACAGUACGUGAAAUUGUUGAAAGGGAAGCGCCUAUGACCAGACUUGGGCCCGGUGAAUCAUCCAGCGUUCUCGCUGGUGCACUUUGCCGGGCACAGGCCAGCAUCAGUUUGGCGCGGGGGAUAAAGGCUUUGGGAAUGUGGCUCCCUCGGGAGUGUUAUAGCCCAUUGUGUAAUACCCUGCGCCGGACUGAGGUACGCGCUCUGCAAGGAUGCUGGCGUAAUGGUCAUCAGCGACCCGUCUUGAAACACGGACCAAGGAGUCGUCUUCGUAUGCGAGUGUUCGGGUGUCAAACCCCUACGCGUAAUGAAAGUGAACGCAGGUGAGAGCUUCGGCGCAUCAUCGACCGAUCCUGAUGUUCUCGGAUGGAUUUGAGUAAGAGCAUACGGGGCCGGACCCGAAAGAAGGUGAACUAUGCCUGUAUAGGGUGAAGCCAGAGGAAACUCUGGUGGAGGCUCGCAGCGGUUCUGACGUGCGAAUCGAUCGUCAAAUAUGGGCAU